GAUGAACGCUAGCGGGAGGCCUAACACAUGCAAGCCGAGCGGUAUUGUUUCUUCGGAAAUGAGAGAGCGGCGUACGGGUGCGUAACACGUGUGCAACCUACCUUUAUCAGGGGGAUAGCCUUUCGAAAGGAAGAUUAAUACUCCAUAAUAUAUUGAACGGCAUCGUUUAAUAUUGAAAGCUCCGGCGGAUAGAGAUGGGCACGCGCAAGAUUAGCUAGUUGGUGAGGUAACGGCUCACCAAGGCGAUGAUCUUUAGGGGGCCUGAGAGGGUGAUCCCCCACACUGGUACUGAGACACGGACCAGACUCCUACGGGAGGCAGCAGUGAGGAAUAUUGGUCAAUGGGUGCGAGCCUGAACCAGCCAUCCCGCGUGAAGGACGACUGCCCUAUGGGUUGUAAACUUCUUUUGUAUAGGGAUAAACCUACCCUCGUGAGGGUAGCUGAAGGUACUAUACGAAUGAGCACCGGCUAACUCCGUGCCAGCCGCCGCAGUAA
rnacentral:rRNA from 1 species